CUACAGGGUUAGGUCAAAUUUAGCUGUGUUAGGGCAAUUUUAUAAUUAAUGCAUCUACACAAGCAACCCUGUUCAGUCGACCUAAAGGGCCCUUAAAAUCGACUUCUGUACUCUUCCCCGGUAAGGGGAGUAGCACUAAAAUCGACCUUGCUGGGUUGAAUUUGGGGCAAUGUGAUGGUUU